GGCGGAAGGUGCUUAUGGAGCUUUUGUAAGCUGGGAGAUCCGCGGGUUCCUUCUGCGGGUAUGAGGGUGUCUGAGGUGGUGGGAUGUGGUACCGUGUUGCCGGUUCCUCUCUUACUCCCCGGCGGACACUAGCAGAACCAGCCAGGCGCCCUGUGCGUGCCGCGGUCUUGCUGGUCUGCCACUGCUGACCUCGUAGCUGCUACUGACAGCGGGUUCCAGACGAGCACUCCCCGGCCUCCGGGCCCCGUCUGCCGGGUCACGGACGUGUUGCUUCAUCCAUUAUGGAGGGCGACUGAUUUGUUAGUCUGUUUCUGUCUCUCCUGUUGCUAGCGGAUGCACAAUUGGUUGAGAUAUGUUAUAUGGAAAAUAAAACUACUGGCCAGGCCAGGAAAGC
rnacentral:lncRNA from 1 species